AGGUAUGGCUCACGAACACUCCAUAACUACAGCACAGCAAAGUUCAACGGUUCUUACACGGACUGAAAGUAUGAUGGGAAUAUCUGAAAGGAUUGCUGAGCUAGGAAGUGUGGAGUUCAUUACAAAUCAACAUGUGAAUCAUACCUUAUCUGACCCGAACGAAGGAAUUGACCCGGAUAAGCACUUCUGUUUCAACAUGACUGGGAAUUGCAAGUAUUAUACUGAAGUUCAAUACAGAGACAGCGCUGAGAUGGACGGGAAACUGUCUCUAAUUCACUUUAACAGCAGGAGUCUAUAUACCAACUUCGGCCACAUCAAGGAAUACCUAAAUCACCUCAAAACCCCUUUCACCAUCAUUGCAGUGUCGGAAACAUGGAUUAAUGAAGACAAAGGCACAGAUUUUUUCCUGGAUGGAUAUAAUCUUGUAUGUGUUAACAGGAGAAACAAAGGCGGAGGAGGAGUGGCACUAUUCAUUGACAAUAAUAUCAAGUAUGAGACAGUACAAAACAUGUCUAAAGCUGUGGCUCACAUAUUGGAAUGUGUGACAAUUGAAAUCUGUGUAACUAAAGGUAAAAAUAUAGUUGUAAGCUGUGUCUACAGAGCACCAGACUCAAAAAUAGAGGACUUCAAUGAAUGUGUGGGAGAAAUAUUCUCCGAAACAAGUCAAAAGAGAGUUUUUAUCUGUGGUGAUAUAAAUAUUGACUUGCUCAAUCCGAAACAAUACACGGUAAUUGACGAGUUCAUUAAUUUGAUGUAUACAAUGGGCUUACAACCUCUCAUCACACGCCCAAGCAGGAUCACGACAUACAGCGCUACUCUAAUUGAUAAUAUUUUUACUAACGUUAAUGACAUAGUAAGUGGACUCCUGAUAAAUGAUAUAAGUGACCACUUACCAAUCUUUGCUAUCUAUGACUAUAAAUACACUGUGAGACAGACACCUAACAAAAACACAUACAUAAGGGUCAGAACUGAAGAAGGAAUGAAUAUACUGAAAAAUGAACUACUGAGGCAAAACUGGA
rnacentral:lncRNA from 1 species